rnacentral:rRNA from 1 species
UACGUAGGGAGCAAGCGUUGUCCGGAAUCAUUGGGCGUAAGCGCGCGUAGGUGGCUUCAUAAGUCCGUUGUGAAAGUCAAAGGCUCACCUUUGAAAGCCGAUGGAUACUGUGAGCUAGAGUACGGAAGAGGCGAGUGGAAUUCCUGGUGUAGCGGUGAAAUGCGCAGAUAUCAGGAGGAACACCAAUUGCGAAGGCAGCUCGCUGGGACGUUACUGACGCUGAGACGCGAAAGCGUGGGGAGCGAAGCAGG